CACCAAUGAUGGGGGAUGUUUUCCAGGCCAGAGUUCUGCUGGACCCAUCAGAUGUUAAAGAAGAGGCUCCUGAAGAACAUAGUCCUGAGAGGGAGCAGCAGGAUACAGAGCCCCUCCAAAUAAAAGAGGAACAGGAGGAACCCGGAGCUUGUCAAGAAGGAGAGCAGCUCCUUGUGAAGGAGGAGACUGAUACAGAGUUUCCAGUAACUGCUGUUCCUAACAAUGUUAAGGAGAAGCUGAUUGUUAAAGAAGAAGCUUCUUU